GGGAAUAUUGCACAAUGGGCGCAAGCCUGAUGCAGCCAUGCCGCGUGUAUGAAGAAGGCCUUCGGGUUGUAAAGUACUUUCAGCGGGGAGGAAGGGAGUAAAGUUAAUACCUUUGCUCAUUGACGUUACCCGCAGAAGAAGCACCGGCUAACUACGUGCCAGCAGCCGCGGUAAUACGUAGGUGGCAAGCGUUGUCCGGAUUUAUUGGGCGUAAAGCGAGCGCAGGCGGAAGAAUAAGUCUGAUGUGAAAUCCCCGGGCUCAACCUGGGAACUGCAUCUGAUACUGGCAAGCUUGAGUCUCGUAGAGGGGGGUAGAAUUCCAGGUGUAGCGGUGAAAUGCGUAGAGAUCUGGAGGAAUACCGGUGGCGAAGGCGGCCCCCUGGACGAAGACUGACGCUCAGGUGCGAAAGCGUGGGGAGCAAACAGG
rnacentral:rRNA from 1 species